AUUGAGCGCUGGCGGCAUGCCUUACACAUGCAAGUCGAACGGCAGCAUGAUCUAGCUUGCUAGAUUGAUGGCGAGUGGCGAACGGGUGAGUAAUACAUCGGAACGUGCCCUGUAGUGGGGGAUAACUAGUCGAAAGAUUAGCUAAUACCGCAUACGACCUGAGGGUGAAAGUGGGGGACCGCAAGGCCUCAUGCUAUAGGAGCGGCCGAUGUCUGAUUAGCUAGUUGGUGAGGUAAAGGCUCACCAAGGCGACGAUCAGUAGCUGGUCGGAGACGACGAUCAGCCACACUGGGACUGAGACACGGCCCAGACUCCUACGGUAGGCAGCAGUGGUGAAUUUUGGACAAUGAGGGCAACCCUGAUCCAGCAAUGCCGCGUGUGUGAAGAAGGCCUUCGGGUUGUAAGGCACUUUUGUCCGGAAAGAAAUCGCACUUACUAAUAUUAGGUGUGGAUGACGGUACCGGAAGAAUAAGGACCGGCUAACUACGUGCCAGCCGCCGCCGUAACAC
rnacentral:rRNA from 1 species